GAGGGGAGUGAAAAAGAACCUGAAACCGUGUACGUACAAGCAGUGGGAGCCUCUUAAUGGGGUGACUGCGUACCUUUUGUAUAAUGGGUCAGCGACUUAUAUUCUGUAGCAAGGUUAACCGAAUAGGGGAGCCGAAGGGAAACCGAGUCUUAACUGGGCGUUAAGUUGCAGGGUAUAGACCCGAAACCCGGUGAUCUAGCCAUGGGCAGGUUGAAGGUUGGGUAACACUAACUGGAGGACCGAACCGACUAAUGUUGAAAAAUUAGCGGAUGACUUGUGGCUGGGGGUGAAAGGCCAAUCAAACCGGGAGAUAGCUGGUUCUCCCCGAAAGCUAUUUAGGUAGCGCCUCGUGAAUUCAUCUCCGGGGGUAGAGCACUGUUUCGGCAAGGGGGUCAUCCCGACUUACCAACCCGAUGCAAACUGCGAAUACCGGAGAAUGUUAUCACGGGAGACACACGGCGGGUGCUAACGUCCGU
rnacentral:rRNA from 1 species